CCUCUUGAACAAACAUUGAAUAGUUAUACCAUGUUCAAUGUGUGCAAAUCUUGAAUGAAACUCAUUAUAGAGAUCUAUAGAGAGAAAGGCCAAGGCAUAUCAUCCUAAAAAGAAAAUAUUAAUAUAAAUUUCUGAAAUCCUUAUUCAGAAAUGCAUAAGAAAGCAAAGGAAUUUUAUGGAAGAUAUUCACCACCAGCAAGAAAGUCAUACUUCAAUCCUCCAGAAUAGAUUACUUCUGAUUUGAAAGCAUUGGUUACAUGAAAACCGUGUGACAACCUUGGAAGUCUGAAAGAGCAGGAGAGAGGCUAAGCACACACAUAUUGUGAUUUUAAGAGUCUCAAGGGCUGACACAAGCUGAGAUGAGGAAAUAUGACCUCCUACACGUGUUUUCCAUGAGGAAUAUGUUUGCUGUGCAGUCACUGAGUUAAAAGCAACCUUCAUUCCCUUGUGCACCAAGGUAGUGCCUCUCCAGAGCUGUAGAUGUCUUCCCAGGAUAUUCCAUCAUUCUACACAGCAUUUAAUUCUUGGAGCUCACAGUCCAAGACUGUUAUCAGUCCAUUUUCACUCUAUUGAUCAAGACAUACUCAAGACUGGGUAAUUUAUAAAGAAA
rnacentral:lncRNA from 1 species